GAUGAACGCUGACAGAAUGCUUAACACAUGCAAGUCUUUGGCAAAUCUGUGCUUGCACAGCAUAGCCAAGGCGGACGGGUGAGUAACGCGUAAAGAGCUUGCCCUGCAGUCUGGGAUAACAGACGGAAACGACUGAUAAAACCUGAUAUAAUCAAGCCCACGCAUGUGGUGCUUGAUGAAAAGAAAUGCUGCAGGAGAGCUUUGCGUCCUAUUAGCUUGUUGGUGGGGUAAUGGCCCACCAAGGCAAUGAUAGGUAGCCGGCCUGAGAGGGUGACCGGCCACAAGGGGACUGAGAUACGGCCCUUACUCCUACGGGAGGCAGCAGUGGGGGAUAUUGGACAAUGGGGGCAACCCUGAUCCAGCAAUUCUGUGUGCACGAAGAAGGUUUUCGGAUUGUAAAGUGCUUUCAGCAGGGAAGAAGAAAAUGACUGUGCCUGCAGAAGAGCGACG
rnacentral:rRNA from 1 species